rnacentral:rRNA from 1 species
AGUGAACGCUGGCGGUAGGCCUAACACAUGCAAGUCGAACGGCAGCACAGUAAGAGCUUGCUCUUACGGGUGGCGAGUGGCGGACGGGUGAGGAAUACAGCGGAAUCUACUUUUUCGUGGGGGAUAACGUAGGGAAACUUACGCUAAUACCGCAUACGACCUACGGGUGAAAGCAGGGGAUCUUCGGACCUUGCGCGAUUGAAUGAGCCGAUGUCGGAUUAGCUAGUUGGCGGGGUAAAGGCCCACCAAGGCGACGAUCCGUAGCUGGUCUGAGAGGAUGAUCAGCCAGACGGGAACUGAGACACGGUCCAGACUCCUACGGGAGGCAGCAGUGGGGAAUAUUGGACAAUGGGGGCAAGCCUGAUCCAGCCAUACCGCGUGGGUGAAGAAGGCCUUCGGGUUGUAGAGCCCUUUUGUUGGGAAAGAAAAGCAGCAGGUUAAUACCCCGCUGUUCUGACGGUACCCAAAGAAUAAGCACCGGCUAACUUCGUG